GAAGAGAGAGGACAGUUGAGAGAGGAGGAAGGAAAAAAGAAGGGAAAGGGUAGAGACAUGUGGAAGGAAGAAAGAAAGGCAGACAGAAAAUCUAUCCGAAAGUAGCCUCUAUUUGAGUCUUGGAGGAUCUCAGAUAACCAGCCAAAGAGCUAGGCCCAACUGAAAAAUGAAUGGAAAAGAAAAAAAAAAUCAAAAAGGAAGGACAUGACUGCUCCUAGUUCUGUCCACUAUCACCCCAAAUCAAUGAAAAAGAAUACAUUCCUCAAUGCAGAGAAGUUGGGAGGUCACCACCAUGGCUGUGACUGGCAGAGAGCAUUGAUCUGAGGGGAGGCUAUUGGCUGUCAAAGUGCCACCAAGACAAGCCGAGAAUGGCAGUGGUCUUUGACAUGGACAUCCGAAGGGUAUCACAUAGAUGAAGGACUGUGGGCUUUGGGAUUCAACAACGGAGUCUGAAAGUUGGUUCUGCCCCUCAUUGAAUGGGAGAGACUGGUCAAGUCAUUCCCUUUAGCAAAGCUUCCUACUUCUUAGCUAUAAAACAUAAGUAACAAAGAUGGACUCAUGCAAGUCUACAGUUCUACUCUUUAUACUUCUAAAU